GACGAACGCUGGCGGCGUGCUUAACACAUGCAAGUCGAACGGUAAGGCCCUUCGGGGUACACGAGUGGCGAACGGGUGAGUAACACGUGGGUGAUCUGCCCUGCACUUCGGGAUAAGCCUGGGAAACUGGGUCUAAUACCGGAUAGGACCACUGCCCGCAUGGGUGGUGGUGGAAAGCUUUUGCGGUGUGGGAUGGGCCCGCGGCCUAUCAGCUUGUUGGUGGGGUGAUGGCCUACCAAGGCGACGACGGGUAGCCGGCCUGAGAGGGUGACCGGCCACACUGGGACUGAGAUACGGCCCAGACUCCUACGGGAGGCAGCAGUGGGGAAUGUUGCACAAUGGGCGCAAGCCUGAUGCAGCGACGCCGCGUGAGGGAUGACGGCCUUCGGGUUGUAAACCUCUUUCAGCACCGACGAAGCGCAAGUGACGGUAGGUGCAGAAGAAGGACCGGCCAACUACGUGCCAGCAGCCGCGGUAA
rnacentral:rRNA from 1 species